rnacentral:misc_RNA from 1 species
ACGAAUCUUCAAAGUCGGCCCUUCCGGUGCUGGUGGUCACACAUGUGCACGUUUGGGUCGCAAAUCCACACACCUGUGCAUAUAUGACUCUGAGUGCCUCACCCAAGCUUUGGGAGUUUGACUUUGAUCAAACUGGCACUCGAGUAUUUUUCACACACUCUUGAAUGUAAAGGAAUGUAUAUUUUGCUUAACAUGCAAACAAAA